rnacentral:tRNA from 1 species
CCGGUGCGGGCGGCGGGCGCGCGCGGCGCCGCUUCCGGCGGCGCCUCCCCUUCCGCCAGGACGGGCACGGCCCCGUGCGCCGGC